CUGGACCAUGAGGUACAGCCUCCUCCUCUGUAGGCCGCCAUGUUAAACACAGCAACUUCCUGCAAAGGAGAACAUCAGCAGAAAGACCUCACGGCUUUUGUGGAAAUCAAAUAAGCUAAGCUCAGUGAUAGGAAGUGCAACAACGCAAGGCAGUAAAACCAAGCCGAAGGCAACGGUUUGGAAAGGCACUGAUGUUGUCAAGCACAUGGCAUAGAACCAGCACGGGACGGUGGCACUGAGUGACGUGACACAGACUGACAACUACGGAGCCAUGUAACAAGCAUCACUUGUGUA